GGCAAGAUGGCCGAGCGGUUAAGGCGUGUGACUCAAGUCAGCGGGAUUAUGCAAUCCUAGACCGACUUCCCUGAAUUCGGGGUUUCUCAUCACGGUAUCGUGGCGUGGGUUCAAGUCCCACUCUUGUCA